UACGAAGGGGGCUAGCGUUGUUCGGAAUUACUGGGCGUAAAGGGCGCGUAGGCGGCGUGUCAAGUCAGGCGUGAAAGCCCCGGGCUCAACCUGGGAACCGCGCUUGAGACUGGCAUGCUCGAGUUCGGGAGAGGAUGGUGGAAUUCCCAGUGUAGAGGUGAAAUUCGUAGAUAUUGGGAAGAACACCGAUGGCGAAGGCAGCCAUCUGGACCGACACUGACGCUGAGGCGCGAAAGCGUGGGGAGCAAACA
rnacentral:rRNA from 1 species